AGAGUUUGAUCAUGGCUCAAUUGAACGCUGGCGGCAUGCCUAACACAUGCAAGUCGAACGAGAGUAGCAAUACUCUAGUGGCGGACGGGUGAGGAAUACGUAGGAAUUUGCCCUUAAGUGGGGGAUAGCCCGGGGAAACCCGGAUUAAUACCGCAUGAUCUCGAAAGAGCAAAGUGGGGGAUCGCAAGACCUCACGCUUUUGGAGAAGCCUACGUCGGAUUAGCUAGUUGGUGAGGUAAUGGCUCACCAAGGCUACGAUCCGUAACUGGUCUGAGGGGAUGAUCAGUCACACCGGAACUGAGACACGGUCCGGACUCCUACGGGAGGCAGCGUGGGGAAUAUUGGACAAUGGGCGCGCCUGAUCCAGCAAUGCCGCGUGUGUGAAGAAGGCCUUCGGGUUGUAAAGCACUUUAAGUUGGGAAGAAAAAACUCGCUCUAACACAGUGAGUCUUGACGGUACCGACAGAAUAAGCACCGGCUAACUCUGUGCCAGCAGCCGCGGUAAUACAGAGGGUGCAAGCGUUAAUCGGAUUUACUGGGCGUAAAGCGUGCGUAGGCGGUUCGUUAAGUCGGUUGUGAAAGCCCUGGGCUCAACCUGGGAAUUGCAGUCGAUACUGACGGACUAGAGAACGGUAGAGGGAGGCGGAACUCCAGGUGUAGCGGUGAAAUGCGUAGAUAUCUGGAAGAACACCGAUGGCGAAGGCAACCUCCUGGGCCUGUUCUGACGCUGAGGCACGAAAGCGUGGGUAGCAAACAGGAUUAGAUACCCUAGUAGUCC
rnacentral:rRNA from 1 species